rnacentral:rRNA from 1 species
UGGGGAAUUGUUCGCAAUGGGCGCAAGCCUGACGACGCAACGCCGCGUGGAGGAUGAAGACCUUCGGGUCGUAAACUCCUUUCGAUCGAGACGAAUGGCCUUCGGGUUAAUAACCUGGGGGAAUGACGGUACCGAGAGAAGAAGCCCCGGCUAACUCCGUGCCAGCAGCCGCGGUAAUACGGGGGGGGCAAGCGUUGUUCGGAAUUACUGGGCGUAAAGGGCUCGUAGGCGGCCAACUAAGUCAGACGUGAAAUCCCUCGGCUUAACCGGGGAACUGCGUCUGAUACUGGAUGGCUUGAAUCCGGGAGAGGGAUGCGGAAUUCCAGGUGUAGCGGUGAAAUGCGUAGAUAUCUGGAGGAACACCGGUGGCGAAGGCGGCAUCCUGGACCGGCAUUGACGCUGAGGAGCGAAAGCCAGGGGAGCAAACGGGAUUAGAUACCCCCGUAGUCC